AAUUUUUUUAUUUCCUUUUUAAAAAAACUGUCUAUCUGUUCUUUAACAGCUUGCACAUGGAGCACAAAGAAUUUAAUGUUAAGGUUGCGUGGUUUAAAUAUGGGUGAAGAAUAGAGUAGGCACUUAAUCUUAUAGUUAAGAAACCGUUUGUCAAUACCUAUGAUUUGUUUGAGUCUUCAUAUUUUACAGUGGGUUGACUCUUGUGAUUAGACACAUUAAAUGUUGGCAGCACCAGAAGUGACCAUAUUUAUAGGAUCUAGCUACACCAAAAUAUCUAAUUUUUUUCUCAUAGUGUACACAUUUCUUAAUGUUUUCUUGCUAAAAUUGAAGCAAAUAACUUUGUGUUGAGUACUUAUUUGACAGUAUUUCAUUUCUCUCUUGGUCGCAGAUCUUUGUAUGUUCUCUUGAUUACUGUAAACUGAACUUGAAAAUUUGUUUAAAAUUUUACAAACCUGCCUAUUAAGAUCUAGGAAUGCAUUUUAAACCUCCAGAAAACCAAAACAGUCUUUUACUAGUUAGGGUUUUUGGUGGUGUGGGAAUUUUUGUUUUGUCUUUUAUAAACCUCUCUCCUCUUAAUCCAGAUGUUCUGUAUAAUUAUCUGGGUUAAUUUCCCCAUUUCCUCAAGAAUUUCAGUAAACUUUCAGUCAUGACAGGUUUUGUGUCUACCCUCAUGAGCCAGCCUGCUACUGAAACAUCAUUUGUUUUUUUUUUCUUUUGUUUUUGGUUUUUUUGGGUUUUUUUGGUUUUGGUUGGUUUUUUAUUUGUUUGGUUUCGGUUGGUUUUUGUUUUUUUUGUUUUUUUUUUUUUUAAUAAAAAGCUAGAAUCAUCAUUUGAAGUCCUUAAAUGUUAAACCACAGUCAAGUAUAGAGAAGUCCAUUAUUGUGUUAGUCUUCAGAACAACUUAAGCUUGUUUCAUUAAUUGAGAGUAUGAGUAUAGUUUGUAUUAAAUUAAAAUUUAUUGCUUUUCCCCC